UCCCCGGUAGCUCAAUGGUAGAGUGGGCGGCUGUUAACCGCUUGGUUGCAGGUUCGAGUCCUGCCCGGGGAGCCA
rnacentral:tRNA from 1 species